rnacentral:rRNA from 1 species
AUACGGAGGAUCCGAGCGUUAUCCGGAUUUAUUGGGUUUAAAGGGUGCGCAGGCGGGAGAUUAAGUCGGCGGUGAAAUUUUGCAGCUCAACUGUAAAAGUGCCUUCGAAACUGGUUUUCUUGAGUGUAGAUGAAGUAGGCGGAAUUUGGGGUGUAGCGGGGAAAUGCAUAGAUAUCACGAGGAACUCCGAUUGCGCAGGCAGCUUACUAAACUACUACUGACGCUCAGGCACGAAGGCGUGGGGAUCAAACAGGAUUAGAUACCCUGGUAGUCCACGCAGUAAACGAUGAUUACUAGCUGUUUGCGAUACAAUGUAAGCGGCUGAGCGAAAGCGUUAAGUAAUCCACCUGGGGAGUACGUUCGCAAGAAUGAAACUCAAAGGAAUUGACGGGG